GUCCGGGCUGGGGGCAGAACAGGGCACAGGAAAACGGUGGCAAACCGAGGCCAGAAGCAGCCAGGUAAAGGUGGUGAAGCAGCGAGAGUAAAUUUUCUGAAGGUGAAAGUAGAGCUAAUGUGAACACUGGGAACUUCUACUGGCUUUUAAAUUAAAUGGGCCUCACAUAAGGAAUGUUUUGUGACAGAAAAAGGCUGUUUGUCAAGAUCCUGCCUUUCAAGACACAAUUACAAAUUCGGCACAGAACAUGGCAAAAUGGAUGCAGAACAGAUUGAACACUGAGGGGAAUCUAAGAAAUGCAGCUACCAGAAAUGAAAAUGUUGCAAGCCUGCUGACAGACUGGGAAGGAAGAGAAGGAAGCAAAUGAACUGACGAAUGCAGCCAGAAAACUCAUGAGACAGCAGGGUGGAAAAAAGCCAGGCUUACAACAAUUGGGAUGGAAUAGUCAUUUCUAAAAUGCAACACA